UACAGAGGUCUCAAGCGUUGUUCGGAUUCAUUGGGCGUAAAGGGUGCGUAGGUGGCGCCGUAAGUCAGGUGUGAAAUUUCGGAGCUUAACUCCGAAACUGCAUUUGAUACUGCGGUGCUUGAGGACUGGAGAGGAGACUGGAAUUUACGGUGUAGCAGUGAAAUGCGUAGAGAUCGUAAGGAAGACCAGUGGCGAAGGCGGGUCCCUGGACAGUUCCUGACACUGAGGCACGAAGGCCAGGGGAGCAAACGGG
rnacentral:rRNA from 1 species